rnacentral:lncRNA from 1 species
UCGAGAUCUUUUCUUACCUCCCGGUCUGGGACCAGAUCCGCAUAGAUCCCUUUCCUCAGGGUUUGUCACCGCUAGAAGAGGCUGGUGGACGACGGUGGCUGUGGUGACACGUCGACCUGACGCUCUACAUGAUGCGAUUUAAAGUCAUGUAGCACCUCCUUGGCCGGUACAUGGCAUCCCAGCUUCAUUCCCUGUGGAUGGGCGGCUACCUGUUCUCUGGCUCCAGUUGUCUCCUGUCCUGAUAAGAGCCCUGGCCAGAAGUGCCCCAACCCGAAGCGCCUCUGCCUGCACGUGGCCGACCUGAGCACGGUGCCCAUCACCAGCCUGUGCAGCGCCCUGGGGACCCUGGAGCUGCACAGCUGCGAGAUCUCCAUGGCCUGGCUCCUCAGGCAGCUGGACCCCACCAUGCUGCCCCUGUUCGAAUGCAUCAUGCUGGACUGCGUCCCUGCCUUCAGAGACGAGCACCAGCAGGGCCUGUCACGCUUCCAGGUCCUGCGCUUUCUGGUGGGGCGGCACCUACCGUGUAAGGGAGUUGCGGCUGGAUGCCAGCCUGCAGGAGCUCAGCUACCUGCAGGGGCUUGAGGUGCUGGGCCGCAACCUCUCUGAGACAGCACCCUGCUGGCCAUCAGCCGCUACCCGCGAGCCGUGCGCAAGAUCAGGCUGACCUUAAGGGGCCUCUCUGCCCCUGGCCUGGCUGUCCUGGAGGGAAUGCCAGCCCUGGAGAGUCUGUGCCAGCAGGGUCUUCUCAACACCCUAGAAAUUCCCUCUUUCACGGAAAUCCUCUCCUCCUGCCUCACCAUGUCCAAGUUCAGAGUCCUUGAGCUGCAGUGGCAGGGGUGGGAGAGUCAGGAGGCCAAUAGGACCAUGUGUAAGGGGCUGCUUCACUGUAUGGUCAUUGUCAGGGCUUGCCCCAAAGAGUCCAUGGACUGGUGGGUGUGA